UGCGCUUGACUGACGCGGGGCUCAACUCCUAAAAUAUACGUGUAUGUGUAUGGAUCAACUGAUCUGUUGCACCACAAUUAAUCAAUGUUUUAAACUGAUUAAGAACCUGAUUAAGAAUUGUUUCUCCUAUGUUUUGCUUAUUACCAAUAUAUUGUAACCUUUAUCUUUCAGCUUGAGUUGAAUGCAAUGUAAAUCCUGCAAAUUCACCAACCUCAAUGAAGCUGUUCUCCUGAAGCACCAGGCCUACUGUCUGUAUCACAGAGGCAGGCAGAGUUCUAUCGGAUCACCACAAGAACCUACUAGACAACUUUAGAGCAGCCAUUAAUCAGCACACUCCAGGACUGCUUAGACUCUAUCGGGCUAGGAGGCCAGCUUUCCGUCUGAGAUGGAUCAACUCCUUAAGGGACUGGAUGAAGAGACCAAUGACAUCACAGCACACAGACAGGCUGCAGCCUUGAAGGGCCUUCCUUUGUAUAUCUGUGAAAGUCACGAGAAGCUGUUCAGGAGUUGUCUGGAUACUGACCCAGAAGAGGAGCAGACAAAGCCUCAUUGUGGGGAUACUUACUAUGGAGGAUGAUCAAAGUACGGCUCCGGCAAGUUGCAAAUGUAGCUGUGGUUCUAGAAGAAGACAUCGUCUUACAAGACCUCCCUGACCUGCUAACGGCCUUUGUUUUGCUCUUUGGGCUGAUAUGCCUGAAACAUUCAGUUUCCCAAGGAACUGAGGUACACCUUCGAAACAUUUCAGAAGGUGUUAACUAAUCUAACCUUGCUGUCCUUACUAAGUAUUUAAGUAAAAAAAUUAGAAUGUUAACUGACAUCCACAACUACUACUGUUCAGUAGGGGUGCACGAUUCAGAAAAUGUCACGAUUCAAUAUCGAUUUUCGUAGGGCUGUGUUUGAUUGAAGAA